UACGAAGGGGGCUAGCGUUGCUCGGAAUUACUGGGCGUAAGGCGCACGUAGGCGGCUUUCUAAGUCGGGGGUGAAAUCCUGGAGCUCAACUCCAGAACUGCCUUCGAUACUGGAAAGCUCGAGUCCGGGAGAGGUGAGUGGAACUGCGAGUGUAGAGGUGAAAUUCGUAGAUAUUCGCAAGAACACCAGUGGCGAAGGCGGCUCACUGGCCCGGUACUGACGCUGAGGUGCGAAAGCGUGGGGAGCAAACAGG
rnacentral:rRNA from 1 species